rnacentral:rRNA from 1 species
GACGAACGCUGGCGGCGUGCUUAACACAUGCCAGUCGAACGGGGAACUCCUCUUGCGGGGGGAUUAGUGGUGAACGGUUGCGUAACACGUGGGCAACCUGCCCACAGCCCUGGCACAACUCCAAGAACUUGGGGCCACUACCGGUUAUGCCCGCUGACCGCAUGGUCUGGAGGCGGAAAGAUUUGUCGGCUGGGGAUGGGCGCGCGGCCUAUCAGCUUGUUGGUGGGGUGGGGGCCUACCAAGCCGACGACGGAUAGCCGGCCUGAGAGCGUGACCGGCCACACUGGGACUGAGACACGGCCCAGACUCGAACGGGAGGCAGCAGUGGGGAAUAUUGCGCAAUGGGCGAAAGCCUGACGCAGCGACGCCGGGGGGGGGAUGACGGCCUUCGGGUUGAGAACCUCUGUCAGCAGGGACGAAGCGAAAGUGACGGUACCUGAAGAAGAAGCACCGGCCAACUACGUG